UACAGAGGGUGCAAGCGUUGUUCGGAAUUAUUGGGCGUAAAGCGCGUGUAGGCGGCUUUGCAAGUCGGGUGUGAAAGCCCUCAGCUCAACUGAGGAAGUGCGCCCGAAACUGCAGAGCUUGAGUGCCGGAGAGGGUGGCGGAAUUCCCCAAGUAGAGGUGAAAUUCGUAGAUAUGGGGAGGAACACCGGUGGCGAAGGCGGCAUCCUGGACCGACAUUGACGCUGAGGAGCGAAAGCGUGGGGAGCAAACAGG
rnacentral:rRNA from 1 species